rnacentral:RNase_P_RNA from 2 species
CGAGCAGGCCACCUUAUCGCUGUUCGCUGUUCGCGAAUGGAGGAAAGUCCGGACACCAUAGUGCAUCAUAGCGGGUAACACCCGUCUCCCAUUUUUGGGACGGACAAGUGCAACAGAAAGAAUGUACAGAUAAUGCUGUAGUGAAAUCAGGUAAACUCUAUGCGGUGAAACGCCAUGUAAAUCAGUGUUUGAGGGCUGCACGCUCGAGCUGAAGGGUAGGCGGUUAGAACCUAUGGGUAACCAUAGGUCCAGAUAAAUGAUAAGGAAGGCUUUACGGUCUUACAGAAUCCGGCUUAUGGCCUGCUUUUUUA